rnacentral:rRNA from 1 species
AAACCAACUGGGAUUACCUUAGUAACGGCGAGUGAAGCGGUAAAAGCUCAAAUUUGAAAUCUGGUACUUUCAGUGCCCGAGUUGUAAUUUGUAGAAUUUGUCUUUGAUUAGGUCCUUGUCUAUGUUCCUUGGAACAGGACGUCAUAGAGGGUGAGAAUCCCGUUUGGCGAGGAUACCUUUUCUUUGUAAGACUUUUUCGAAGAGUCGAGUUGUUUGGGAAUGCAGCUCAAAGUGGGUGGUAAAUUCCAUCUAAAGCUAAAUAUUGGCGAGAGACCGAUAGCGAACAAGUACAGUGAUGGAAAGAUGAAAAGAACUUUGAAAAGAGAGUGAAAAAGUACGUGAAAUUGUUGAAAGGGAAGGGCAUUUGAUCAGACAUGGUGUUUUUGCAUGCACUCGCCUCUCGUGGGCUUGGGCCUCUCAAAAAUUUCACUGGGCCAACAUCAAUUUUGGCAGCAGGAUAAAUCAUUAAGAAUGUAGCUACUUCGGUAGUGUUAUAGCUUUUUGGAAUACUGUUAGCCGGGAUUAAGGA